AGGGCCUGGGCGCAGACAACCGGCAGGCGGUGCAGCUGCCAUGGGCAUGCAAUGAGUGGCCUCUCAAAACAACUUUCAAGGCAGCGGCGUGGCACUCCUGUGGAGCUCUCUGGCUGGCGGUGCGUCCCCUCUGUCACCAUGAAAGGUGACUUCGCAGAGGAGGAGGAGGUGCAGUCCUUCGGUUACAAGUGGUUUGGUAUUCAGGAAGGAACACAAUGUACCAAACGUAAAAAUAACUGGCACUGAAGUUUUCUAUCAUAUUAUUACACAUUUUGUGUGCCUUGCUAACAAUCACAGUAGCCAUUUUGGGAUAUAAAGUUGUAGAGAAAAUGGAUAAUGUCACAGGUGGCAUGGAGACAUCUCGCCAAACCUAUGAUGACAAGCUCAUAGCAGUGGAAAGUGACCUGAAAAAAUUAGGUGACUAAACUGGGAAGAAAGCUAUUAGCGCCAACUCAGAACUCUCUACCUUCAGAUCAGACAUUCUAGAUAUCCGUCAGCAACUUCGUGAGAUUACAGAAAAAAAACCAGCAAGAACAAGGAUAUGCUGGAGAAGUUACAGGCUAGCAGGGAUGCACUGGUGGACAGGGAGUCAACCAAAAGAAACUUUGGAGAAUAACUUCCCUCAUCACCACUGUAAACAAAACCCUCCAGGCGUACAAUGGCUGUGUCAUGAAUCUGCAGCAAGAUACCAGUGUGCUCCAGGGUAAUCUGCAGAACCAAAUGUAUUCUCAUAACGUGGUCAUCAUGAACCUCAACAACCUGAACCUGACCCAGGUACAGCAGAGGAACCUCAUCACGAAUCUGCAGCGGUCUGUGGAUGACACAAGCCAGGCUAUCCAGCAAAUCAAGAAUGACUUUCAAAAUCUGCAGCAGGUUUUUCUUCAAGCCAAGAAGGACACAGAUUGACUGAAGGAGGAAGUGCAAAGCUUGCAGAUGCUGGCUACCAAUAAUUCUGCUUUGGCCAAAGCCAACAACAACACCCUUGAGGAUAUGAACAGCCAGCUCAACUCAUUUACAGGUCUGAUGGAGAACAUCACUAUCUCUCAGGCCAACGAGCAGAACCUGAAAGACCUGCAGAACUUACACAAGGAUGCAGAGAAUAGAACGGCCAUCAGGUUCAACCAACUGGAGGAACACUUCCAGCUCUUUGAGAUGGAUAUUGUAAAUAUCAUUAGCAAUAUCAGUUACACAGCCCACCACCUGCAGAUGCUGACUAGCAAUCUGAAUGAAGUCAGGACCACUUGCAUGGAUACCCUAACCAAACACAAGGAUGAUCUGACUUCCUUGAAUAAUACCCUGGCCAACAUCUGUUUGGAUUCUGUUUCUCUCAGGAUGCAACAAGAUUUGAUGAGAGUGAGAUUAGACACUGAAGUAAGCAACUUAUCAGUGAUUAUGGAAGAAAUGAAGCUAGUAGACUCCAAGCAUGGUCAGCUCAUCAAGAAUUUUACAAUACUGCAAGGUCCACCCAGCCCCAGUGUCCAAAAGGUGACAGAGGAUCCCAGGGACACCCUGGUCCAACUGGCAACAAGGGACAGAAAGGAGAGAAGGGGGAACCUGGACCACCCGGCCCUGUGGGUGAGAGAGGCCCAAUGGGACCAGUCGGUCCCCCUGGAGAGUGUGGCGGCAAAGGCUCUAAAGGCUCCCAGGGACCCAAAGACUCCCGUGUUUUCCCCGGGAAGCCCAGCCCCAGGGCCCCAGUGGGGAACCAGGCCCCCCAGGCCCACCGUGCAAAGAAGGACUCCCUGGCCCCCAUGGCCCUCCUGGCUUCCAGGGACUACGGGGCACCAUGGGGGAGCCUGGGGUGCCUGGACCUAGGGGACUGCCAGAUUUGCCUGGGGUACCAGGCAUGCCAGGGCCCAAGGGUCUCCCUGACCCCCCAGCCCAUCAGAAGCAGUGGUGCCCCUGGCCCUGCAGAAUGAGCCCACCCCUGCACCGGAGGAUAAUGGCUGCCUGCCUCACUGGAAGAACUUCACAGACAAAUGCUACUAUUUUUCCGUUGAGAAGGAAAUUUUUGAGGAUGCAAAGCUUUUCUGUGAAGACAAGUGUUCACUUCUCGUUUUCAUAAACACUAGAGAAGAACAGCAAUGGAUUAAAAAACAGAUGGUAGGGAGAGAGAGCCACUGGAUCGGCCUCAGACUCAGAGAAUGAAAAUGAAUGGAAGUGGCUGGAUGGGGCAUCUCCAGACUACAAAAGUUGGAAAGCUGGACAGCCAGAUAACUGGGGUCAUGGCCAUGGGCCAGGAGAAGACUGUGCUAGGUUGAUUUAUGCUGGGCAGUGGAACGAUUUCCAGUGUGAAGACAUCAAUAACUUCAUUUGUGAAAAAGACAGGGAGACAGUGUUAUCAUCUGCAUUAUAACAGACUGUGAUGGAAUCACAUGAGCAAAUUUUCAGCCAGCUCUCAAAGGACAGUCCUUUCUAAUUGCAUCACCUUCUCAUCAGAUUGAAAAAAAAGCACUGAAAACCAAUUACUGAAAAAAAUUGACAGCUAGUGUUUUUUACCAUCUGUCAUUACCCAAAGACUUGGGAACUACAAUGUUCCCCCAGUGUGUUAUGCUGAUUUUCAGUGUGCACAUGGACUGAAUCGCAUAGAUUUUCCUCCAUCAGUAACUAUGCAAUUAUGCAAAUUACAUCUUCCAAAGUAUGGAGCACUCCAAUCAGAAAAAGGCUAUCAUUGGUGUUGAGCUAUAGGAAAAACUUAAGCAUAUACUGUGUAAAUAGUACCAUACAUUUCUUAAAUCCCAAGUGUAGGAAAAAUACGCAAACAUACAGAUAUAUAGGCCAACUCCUAGUGAUAAUAUGAAAUAUACUUAAAGAGCUUUUAAAACUUUGUAUUUUUGUACAAAAUAUUUGCCUUUUACAAUUUUUUCCUUUUUUUUUUUUUGUCAUUUUACUAACGUAAUACAUGGAGCCAAAG